UACGAAGGGGGCUAGCGUUGCUCGGAAUUACUGGGCGUAAAGGGCGCGUAGGCGGCUCUGUUAGUCAGACGUGAAAUUCCUGGGCUCAACCUGGGGGCUGCGUUUGAUACGUGCGGGCUUGAGUUCGGAAGAGGGUCGUGGAAUUCCCAGUGUAGAGGUGAAAUUCGUAGAUAUUGGGAAGAACACCGGUGGCGAAGGCGGCGACCUGGUCCGAUACUGACGCUGAGGCGCGAAAGCGUGGGGAGCAAACAGG
rnacentral:rRNA from 1 species